GACGAACGCUGGCGGCGUGCUUAACACAUGCAAGUCGAACGGAAAGGCCCUGCAUUUGUGGGGUGCUCGAGUGGCGAACGGGUGAGUAACACGUGAGUAACCUGCCCUUGACUUUGGGAUAACUUCAGGAAACUGGGGCUAAUACCGGAUAGGAGCUCCUGCUGCAUGGUGGGGGUUGGAAAGUUUCGGCGGUUGGGGAUGGACACGCGGCUUAUCAGCUUGUUGGUGGGGUAGUGGCUUACCAAGGCUUUGACGGGUAGCCGGCCUGAGAGGGUGACCGGCCACAUUGGGACUGAGAUACGGCCCAGACUCCUACGGGAGGCAGCAGUGGGGAAUAUUGCACAAUGGGCGGAAGCCUGAUGCAGCAACGCCGCGUGCGGGAUGACGGCCUUCGGGUUGUAAACCGCUUUCGCCUGUGACGAAGCGUGAGUGACGGUAAUGGGUAAAGAAGCACCGGCUAACUACGUG
rnacentral:rRNA from 1 species